CGUGCCCCGGGGAGCCUGGGCAGUGCCAGCACCCUCUGGGGAAGAGCCUUUCCCGAUCGCCAACCUAAACCCCUCCGGACCCAGCUCCAGCUGUUCUCUGGGUCCUGUGCCUGGUCACGGCAGCAGAGAUCGGAGCUGGGUCCCGGGAGGAGCUGCAGCUCCCGGUGAGCUCUGACCUCAGUCUCCUCCAGACUGAAGAGGUCAAGUGUCCUCAGCCACUCCUGGCGUGGCCCCUCCAGACCCCAGCCCUUUCCAUCCAGAUACAUUCAGGAAUGUUUUCCAGCCCGGCUGUGCUCGGGAGCUCCCAGGAACAGUGAGCUGCUCGGAAAGAAGGGUCUGUGAUCCAGCUGGCACUUGUCCAACCUGUCCCUAGGUUCAAGGGCACCCAUCUCAGUUUAAAACAUCCUGAGGAAUAACAUGAGUGACUGGCAAGAAGCGAGGAUUGCGUUUUCAGGGCCCCUCCUACAUCUCUGCCAUACAUUAACACUCAUUGCCAUGAGAUGUUUUCAGUCCCCAGGCAGCCCUUGAGCUGCGGGACCCCAGAGUGACUGGCACAGGCACCAGUUGUGCAAUUCUCUUUCUGAGGGCGCUGCAGUGCGGUGAAGCAAAGUAGUGGGUCGGAGUUCUGAGCUGGCUCAAAAGGCGCCACUGACAUGGCUAACAGAACAAACUCCUCGGAGUAUUUCUGGUCUUAUGAAUAUUACUGGGAUUACAUAGAUCCAAUUCCAGUAGAUGGAAGCAAGUUGAAGGUUAAUAAAUAAUGCACAUGACAGAAUUACUCUGCUGUGCCCACAGACUCCAUCGUCAUUGCCUUUUGGGUCGGCCUUGCUGCGUUUGUGACGUUUCUUUUCCUUGUUUUGCUGUGUAUGUCCUGCUCCGGAUCAACGCCAGCAAACACGACGAUGAACAGGAACACAGGUUCGGGCAGGAGCUCAUUAGGCAGUGACUGCACUCACGACAAUUAUCGGUCACAAGAGCACCCAGGGCAAAUCCUGGUGCAAGGACGGAGUACUUGCCAGCAGCAUGCAUUGGAAUAACUGUGCUAAUCCAGCAGUUUGAAUUUUUGGAAUGCUGUGGGACAUGCUUAAUGUGUCAGUAAUAUUUUUUUAAAGAAAGCCCCCAAGAAGCAGUGGAAGAAAAUAAUAAAUAAUAUUGCCUACUCA